GCAGGCUCCAUGCACCGGGAGCCCAACGUGGGAUUCGAUCCCGGGUCUCCAGGAUCGCGCCCUGGGCCAAAGGCAGGCGCCAAACCGCUGCACCACCCAGGGAUCCCCCAAUUGUUCAGAUUUUAACACUGAUUGUCCCUCAGUCCUGGGUGCGUCCCCCUAAUUGAGACGUACAAUCCCAGGGUAGAAACAAGGAGAGGGAAGGGAAAGCACCUGCGGAGAGGCAGGGACAGCAGAUGCACGGGCGAAUCUCCACGCUGGCGGGGCCUUCAAGGGGAGCUGCCCUGAUUGUUCGGUCCUGGUCCUGCGGUUUAGUUUCUCUCGACAGGCUUCGCCAGCCGCCGCUCCUGGGAACAGCCGCGGGAAGGACAAAGGAAGAGGAACGUGUCUGCGGAUUUCCUCCUGGCUCACAUCUUUCAUUGGUCAGAGUUCACCAGAUGGAGGUUAUUUCCAGUUGAACUUCCUCUUCACAGGCUUGUGAGAGUAUCCCCCAAACAUGUCUUGCCUGCCAUCUAUUUUUGCACUUUUCAUCAGAGAAACUGGAAAGCCUUAUCCAUAGAAUGUUAUCCACAUCUCAAGGGGCUUGAGUUUGGGCCUAACUCCAUGAUUUGUUCUGGGCCAACGAAAGUUUCUUAUCCAGGCUAGCAACAUGCAGGAUGAUACUCUCUUGUGGUGCUGGGCAGCAGCAGCAGCCACGCCAUCAUGAGGAUCAGCGACUGCUGUCACAGUUCAAGGCGCAGACGUUCGUGGGCACCUACCCUGCGCAGGAGCCAGGCCCCUGAUGCAGAGGACACAGGGAUGGACGAGAUGCGGGGUCGGCCCUCUCCAGACUCGCAAAAUAGCAGGGAGCAAACAACGCACAGCUAUAAUACGCGACGGAAGAUGUCAGAAUCCAGGAACAAAUCAAUGGCUUUUUGCUCCGCUGCUGCGGCCACUCCGGUUCCUCCUGCCAGACGUGCAGUCGUCGGGCUGGCCGCGCACCUGCCUGCUGGCCGCGCACCCCCGGGACUGGAGAAGCGGCUCUGCAUGGCCACUGCAGCCGUCCCGGGCAGGGCUGGGGACCUUGGGGACCCGACGGUGCGACCAGCGUUGGCUUUGGUGGCGCCAGGCUCCGCCCCGCCCUGCGCGCCACUGGCCGUCUCCUCCGUCUGCGGGGUGGGCACUCCCGCGGGGAGAAGCAGGUUCACAGCACUUGGUUCUUGGACUUUCUCACCCAGGACCUGGACCUGGGCCGGGAUCGGAUAAUUAUCUUCUUUUUUUCCUUGGACCCUGGCAGCUGGACAAGAAAGGGACAGUCAGGGGCAUCUGCAUGGCUCAGUGGUUGAGCAUCUGCCUUUGGCUCAGGUCGUGCUCCGGGGUUCUGGGAUCAAGACCCGCACUGGGCUCCUCUGCAGGGAAUUUGCUUCUCCCUCUGCCUAUGUCUCUGCCUCUCUCUGUGUCUCUCAUGAAUAAAUAAAUAAAAUCGUAAAAAAAUAAAAAUUAAAAAUUAAAAGGCAAGAGAGAGACCAACUAUGUUAAAAGCUACAUGAGAAUUGACUUUUGAAUUUAACAAGAUCAUAGGCACCCUGACAGGAGAGGUUUCAGCAGAGUGCUGGGGAAGAAGCCCUAAUUGGGACCUGUUAGUGAGGGAAUGGGAGAUUAAGAGAGCAGAAUCAAGUAAGAAACGACUCCUUCAGGGAGUUUUGCUUAGCUGAGGGCAAAUGUGUGGCUAAGAAAAGGCUGGUGUUGGAAGGGAAGGAAAAAUAAAAUAAGAUAAAAACAGAGAGGGAGGCAAACUAUAACAGACUCUUAGCAAGAACAAACUGAGGGUCGCUG